rnacentral:tRNA from 1 species
GCCGGGAUGGCGGAAUUGGCAUACGCACUAGCUUGAGGGGCUAGGCUCGCAAGAGCGUGUGGGUUCGAGUCCCACUCUCGGCA